rnacentral:tRNA from 1 species
AGAUUUAUAGUUUAGUUAGAAUAAUUCAUUUACAAUGAAUAGGUUUAAAGUCUU